CAGGGAAGUAGCAUGAGAAUGUGGCUGAGUUCCUCGGCCUUUGUUAGGACACAGUCGUCUUCUUUUUUUGUUCAAGGCAAGUUGAAGGGUGCUUACAGCGGUGAAGUGUGGUCCAAAGCCUCCGUGUGCUUGAACUCACUGGAUCCUCUUGACAACCCCACAUGACAGAUUUUACAUAUGAGUAAUAUCAUAUGGCAGAAAGUGAAGAGGAACUAAAAAGACUCUUGAUGAACGUGAAAGAGGAGAGUGAAAAAGUUGGCUUAAAGCUCAAC
ensembl:lncRNA